rnacentral:rRNA from 1 species
CCUACGGGAGGCAGCAGUGAGGAAUAUUGGUCAAUGGGCGGAAGCCUGAACCAGCCAAGUAGCGUGCAGGAUGACGGCCCUACGGGUUGUAAACUGCUUUUAUACGGGAAUAACGCGCCUUACGUGUAGGGCUUUGCAUGUACCGCAUGAAUAAGGACCGGCUAAUUCCGUGCCAGCAGCCGCGGUAAUACGGAAGGUCCGGGCGUUAUCCGGAUUUAUUGGGUUUAAAGGGAGCGUAGGCCGCAUGUCAAGCGUGCCGUGAAAUGUCCGGGCUCAACCCGGGCCUUGCAGCGCGAACUGGCGUGCUUGAGUCCGCGGAAAGCAGGCGGAAUUCGUCGUGUAGCGGUGAAAUGCUUAGAUAUGACGAAGAACCCCGAUUGCGAAGGCAGCAUGCUGCAGCGGAACUGACGCUGAUGCUCGAAGGCGCGGGUAUCGAACAGGAUUAGAUACCCCUGUAGUC